CAGCAGUCGCCGCGGGAAUACGGAGGGUGCAAGCGUUAAUCGGAAUUACUGGGCGUAAAGCGCACGCAGGCGGUCUGUCAAGUCAGAUGUGAAAUCCCCGGGCUUAACCUGGGAAUUGCAUUCGAUACUGGGAAGCUAGAGUAUGGGAGAGGAUGGUAGAAUUCCAGGUGUAGCGGUGAAAUGCGUAGAGAUCUGGAGGAAUACCGAUGGCGAAGGCAGCCAUCUGGCCUAAUACUGACGCUGAGGUACGAAAGCAUGGGGAGCAAACAGGAUUAGAUACCCCUGUAGUCCCUGUCUCUUAUAC
rnacentral:rRNA from 1 species